rnacentral:rRNA from 1 species
AACGUAGGAGCCAAACGUUAUCCGGAGUUACUGGGCGUAAAGGGCGUGUAGGCGGUUUGUUAAGUCUGGCGUGAAAGCUCUCGGCUAAACCGGGAGAGGUCGUUGGAUACUGGCAACCUAGAGGACGGUAGAGGCGUGUGGAAUUCCGGGUGUAGUGGUGAAAUGCGUAGAGAUCGGGAGGAACAUCAGUGGCGAAGGCGGCUGCCUGGCCCAAUACUGACACUCAGGUGCGACAGCGUGGGGAGCAAACAGG